AUUGAACGCUGGCGGCAGGCUUAACACAUGCAAGUCGCGCGAGCGGCGGACGUGUGCGUAAUGUCUGGGAAACUGCCUGAUGGAGGGGGAUAACUACUGGAAACGGAAGCUCAUACCCCAUACCAUCAUUUGUGCCCAGAUGGGAUUAGCUAGUAGGUGGGGUAAUGGCUCACCUAGUCGACGAUCCCUAGCUGGUCUGAGAGGAUGACCAGCCAAAAUGGAACUGAGACACGGGCCAGACUCCUAGGGGAGGAAGCAGUUGGGAAUAUUGCACAAUGGGCGCAAGCCGGAUGUAGCAAUGCCGCGUGUGUGAAGAAGGCCUUCGGGUUGUAAAGCACUGUCAGCGAGGAGGCGGUACUCGCAGAAGAAGCACCGGCUAACUCCGUGCCAGCAGCCGCGGUAAUUC
rnacentral:rRNA from 1 species